rnacentral:misc_RNA from 1 species
AGAUGAAGUCGACGGUGCCGUAGACGUCGCAUUCACGGAAGAAUUGGCGCUUGGAGUGGACAUAGAGGGUGUCCUGGUAACCGUAUAUGCUGCAGUGGUAGAUGACGGAGUGGUCGGCAUCGACGCGGAGAGCCACUGCCUGGUGCUUGUAGGGGCCGGCUGUGUUCUCGAUUGUUAUGUCUCUCAUUAUGAAUCCCGCACCCGUAGCAGCGAAUGUGGCGGAGCGGAAGGUAGUGUAUUGGUCAGCCACACUGCGCGAAGCAGUAAUCACUGUAUUCCCCUCCCCGUCGCCGAUGAACAUCAAAUUCUUCUUCUUCCUCCCCACCUUCACAUUUUCCAUGUACCUCCCAGCCUUCACAUAUAUAACAACCCGCCUUUUGCUGUUCUCCGGAGCCGCCUUCACCGCCUCAGUUAUCGUUUUAUAAUCACCAGUACCAUCAGCUGAUACAACAAAGUCUGCUUGCACCCCCAUCGCCGGAGCCAACAACAACCUCCUGUCGCCCAACCUCACCCAGUCCGGAAACUCCGCCAUCAGCCGCCGCCUCCUCCUGUUCUCUAUGGGUACGCCGGAGAAUUCCGGGUUCUUCCCGGCAGCAGCAAAGAUGGCUAGACAAUUGCUAACCAACUCACUAAGGUCUUGAAGGUAGUUACCCAUCUGGGUUUUUAUAUAGCCUUCUGGGACAGUGUCGAGUCCGUCGUUACACGUGUCUUGAUUGGUGACGGCGGCGCUGAGCCAGGUGACUACAUCGUCGUUGUCGGUUUCACUGUCGUCAGUGAGGGAGAGGAGGGAGUUGGUGAGCUGGUCGAUGGAAUCGUCGAGGAGCUCCAUGCAGUCCUCGUAGGCGGAGCGAGUGAGAGUGUCCAUGUUGACGGCGGUGAUCGAGGAGGCGGAGUAGAGGGCGUGGCUCACGUGGUUGAGGGUCAUGUUGAGGGAGAUGUGGAUGAGGUCAUGCUCGCCGGCGGCGAGCGCGCCGGGGAAGUUGAGGAGGGAGGUGAUGCAGAGGGAGGGGUAGCGGGUGAGGGCGCAUGUACGGGACAUGGCUAGGGUUGGCUGG